GGUUAAGCGACUAAGCGUACACGGUGGAUGCCCUGGCAGUCAGAGGCGAUGAAGGGCGUGCUAAUCUGCGAUAAGCGCCGGUAAGGUGAUAUGAACCGUUAUAACCGGCGAUACCCGAAUGGGGAAACCCAGUGUGAUUCGUCACACUAUCAUUAACUGAAUCCAUAGGUUAAUGAGGCGAACCGGGGGAACUGAAACAUCUAAGUACCCCGAGGAAAAGAAAUCAACCGAGAUUCCCCCAGUAGCGGCGAGCGAACGGGGAGGAGCCCAGAGCCUGAAUCAGCAUGUGUGUUAGUGGAAGCGUCUGGAAAGGCGCGCGAUACAGGGUGACAGCCCCGUACACAAAAGCGCAUGUGCUGUGAGCUCGAUGAGUAGGGCGGGACACGUGGUAUCCUGUCUGAAUAUGGGGGGACCAUCCUCCAAGGCUAAAUACUCCUGACUGACCGAUAGUGAACCAGUACCGUGAGGGAAAGGCGAAAAGAACCCCGGCGAGGGGAGUGAAAAAGAACCUGAAACCGUGUACGUACAAGCAGUGGGAGCACAGGUUUACCUGUGUGACUGCGUACCUUUUGUAUAAUGGGUCAGCGACUUAUAUUCUGUAGCAAGGUUAACCGAAUAGGGGAGCCGGAGGGAAACCGAGUCUUAAUUGGGCGUUAAGUUGCAGGGUAUAGACCCGAAACCCGGUGAUCUAGCCAUGGGCAGGUUGAAGGUUGGGUAACACUAACUGGAGGACCGAACCGACUAAUGUUGAAAAAUUAGCGGAUGACCUGUGGCUGGGGGUGAAAGGCCAAUCAAACCGGGAGAUAGCUGGUUCUCCCCGAAAGCUAUUUAGGUAGCGCCUCGUGAAUUCAUCUCCGGGGGUAGAGCACUGUUUCGGCUAGGGGGCCAUCCCGGCUUACCAACCCGAUGCAAACUGCGAAUACCGGAGAAUGUUAUCACGGGAGACACACGGCGGGUGCUAACGUCCGUCGUGAAGAGGGAAACAACCCAGACCGCCAGCUAAGGUCCCAAAGUCAUGGUUAAGUGGGAAACGAUGUGGGAAGGCCCAGACAGCCAGGAUGUUGGCUUAGAAGCAGCCAUCAUUUAAAGAAAGCGUAAUAGCUCACUGGUCGAGUCGGCCUGCGCGGAAGAUGUAACGGGGCUAAACCAUGCACCGAAGCUGCGGCAGCGAACGUAUCACUUAAAGCGAUUCAGCGGGUUACGAUUGACGGAGCGAAGCGACGUCAAAGCGUAUACAAAGUCGAGUCGGUUUAAGGAUACGUUCGUUGGGUAGGGGAGCGUUCUGUAAGCCUGCGAAGGUGGCCUGUGAGGGUUGCUGGAGGUAUCAGAAGUGCGAAUGCUGACAUAAGUAACGAUAAAGCGGGUGAAAAGCCCGCUCGCCGGAAGACCAAGGGUUCCUGUCCAACGUUAAUCGGGGCAGGGUGAGUCGACCCCUAAGGCGAGGCCGAAAGGCGUAGUCGAUGGGAAACGGGUUAAUAUUCCCGUACUUGGUGUUACUGCGAAGGGGGGACGGAGAAGGCUAUGUUGGCCGGGCGACGGUUGUCCCGGUUUAAGCGUGUAGGCUGGUUUUCCAGGCAAAUCCGGAAAAUCAAGGCUGAGGCGUGAUGACGAGGCACUACGGUGCUGAAGCAACAAAUGCCCUGCUUCCAGGAAAAGCCUCUAAGCAUCAGGUAACAUCAAAUCGUACCCCAAACCGACACAGGUGGUCAGGUAGAGAAUACCAAGGCGCUUGAGAGAACUCGGGUGAAGGAACUAGGCAAAAUGGUGCCGUAACUUCGGGAGAAGGCACGCUGACACGUAGGUGAAGUGAUUUACUCAUGGAGCUGAAGUCAGUCGAAGAUACCAGCUGGCUGCAACUGUUUAUUAAAAACACAGCACUGUGCAAACACGAAAGUGGACGUAUACGGUGUGACGCCUGCCCGGUGCCGGAAGGUUAAUUGAUGGGGUCAGCGCAAGCGAAGCUCCUGAUCGAAGCCCCGGUAAACGGCGGCCGUAACUAUAACGGUCCUAAGGUAGCGAAAUUCCUUGUCGGGUAAGUUCCGACCUGCACGAAUGGCGUAAUGAUGGCCAGGCUGUCUCCACCCGAGACUCAGUGAAAUUGAACUCGCUGUGAAGAUGCAGUGUACCCGCGGCAAGACGGAAAGACCCCGUGAACCUUUACUAUAGCUUGACACUGAACAUUGAGCCUUGAUGUGUAGGAUAGGUGGGAGGCUUUGAAGUGUGGACGCCAGUCUGCAUGGAGCCGACCUUGAAAUACCACCCUUUAAUGUUUGAUGUUCUAACGUGGACCCGUAAUCCGGGUUGCGGACAGUGUCUGGUGGGUAGUUUGACUGGGGCGGUCUCCUCCUAAAGAGUAACGGAGGAGCACGAAGGUUGGCUAAUCCUGGUCGGACAUCAGGAGGUUAGUGCAAUGGCAUAAGCCAGCUUGACUGCGAGCGUGACGGCGCGAGCAGGUGCGAAAGCAGGUCAUAGUGAUCCGGUGGUUCUGAAUGGAAGGGCCAUCGCUCAACGGAUAAAAGGUACUCCGGGGAUAACAGGCUGAUACCGCCCAAGAGUUCAUAUCGACGGCGGUGUUUGGCACCUCGAUGUCGGCUCAUCACAUCCUGGGGCUGAAGUAGGUCCCAAGGGUAUGGCUGUUCGCCAUUUAAAGUGGUACGCGAGCUGGGUUUAGAACGUCGUGAGACAGUUCGGUCCCUAUCUGCCGUGGGCGCUGGAGAACUGAGGGGGGCUGCUCCUAGUACGAGAGGACCGGAGUGGACGCAUCACUGGUGUUCGGGUUGUCAUGCCAAUGGCACUGCCCGGUAGCUAAAUGCGGAAGAGAUAAGUGCUGAAAGCAUCUAAGCACGAAACUUGCCCCGAGAUGAGUUCUCCCUGAGACUUUAGGUCUCCUGAAGGAACGUUGAAGACGACGACGUUGAUAGGCCGGGUGUGUAAGCGCAGCGAUGCGUUGAGCUAACCGGUACUAAUGAACCGUGAGGCUUAACCUU
rnacentral:rRNA from 1 species